rnacentral:misc_RNA from 1 species
UUUUGUUUUUGUUUUUUUGUUUUCAAUUUGUUAAAUUAGUUUGCCGAAGAAGUUUCAUUUCUGACAUGUGUACUUUGUACGCACGCAAUUUUUUUUGUUUUUUUUUUUUUUUAUAUAAAUGAUGAUAUAUUCGUUUAAAUUUAAGUUAAGUUUAAUUUAAGUUUAGUUAAUCAAUGCUAAUAAUUUUAAAUUAAUAAAAAAUAAAAAAGGGUUAUGUCACAUGAUGAUCAAUAUUUUUUAAUUACUAAAGAAUGAAAUUAUUCUUAGAUGGAAAGAACAAUAGAAAUAAAACUUUAAAAAAAAAUUCAUUACAACUAUUUGUCUCGAAAAGGGUAUACUUAAAUAUUAAAUUUUUAAUACAUCGAAUAAUUUAAUGUAUCGCAUGUUCUUGGAAGAAAAAUUAUACAAGAUUAAGUUUAUUCAUAAUAUUAACAUUACACAUCGCGUCGUUGUUCAAAUUUUAUUUUCAAGAUUAAUAUUAUAUAAAGUCAAGUUUUAGUUUAAAUAUGUAAAUAUGUAAACUAACAUAAUAAUAUCGAACUAAUGUCAAAUUUUGACUGUAUAUCUGUAAUUAGUGCCUUAUUGUUGAAAUUUGAUGUUUUGAAAAGUUUCAAGAAUAAUUUGUGUGAGUAUGCUUUAAAAUACAAGUUAUUAUUAUGGUCAGAAUUAAUCACGGUCAAUCAAACCCUAUUGUAAUAGGUCCUUAGUCUACAAUUGUACAACUACAAUUCUACGAGUAUAUAGGUUAUAAUAUGUCAAAAUCAAAAAAUAUUGAUUGAAAUCGUUUAUAGUUAUAAACUUCUUUUUUUUUCUUUUUUUUUUAGUAUGACAAAUUUGCAGAAUUCGGGCUCCUUUAAAUCUAGAGCUAAUAAGACUUAUAAGCUCUGGCCAGUGUGUAUUAUAUUUUAGGGCAUACUCCAAAUGUGUUUCUGUAAAUGAGCUUCAUUAUAACCUCGGUAAGAGAAUGAAUGGCACUGUUAAAAUGACUCGUAGCGAUGAUUAAGGUCUAUUUAGAAGAAGAGUUUUAGAGGGGUCUAUUAUCAUUAGUAUAGAAGUAUAAACUACUUUUGAGGGUACUAUUGAAAAACUCAUGCUACGAUACCCAAUGAGUGUAAUAUGUGAAUUGUGGAAAACAACUGUCAAAUAUCUAUAAUUCUACAAGUUUGUUAUUAGAUGAAAAACGAUAUAGUAAUCUAGGAAAUGUUUCGAAUCGAUAAAAUGAUGUUAGUCUUACCAGAGGUUAUAAGCUCGAUGUAUAUUAUAUUUUGAAUGGAUACAAAUAUAUUUUUGUUAUUAAAGUUUAUUUUAAUUACCAUGUUAAAAUGUUAUUUUAUUUGAGUGAAGCAAUUUAUCCAAAUAACUUAUUUACUCGUAAGAAAUAAUGACGACAAUUUACUGUAAAUAGUUGUAAACUAAUAAGUUAUACUUUCCAGGAACGUUUAUAUGGACCAAAAGAGGUUCAAAGCAUCCACUACUUCUACUCUCUGGGUUCACCUAUAGCGUUCAAAAUAAGAAUUUUGAUGGUAGCGUCCAGUGGUAUUGCUCUAGACGACUCAAAGGCUGCAGAGCCUCAGCUGUCACCUCUGGCACAACGGUAAAGUCAUAUAAACUACAUGAUCACCCGCCGCCGAACUUAGUGAACGUAACAGCCGUAUCAGCA